AUGAACAGGAAAUAUCUUAGCAGCCAUGUUUCUCCCCAGCGCAGGCUGUUGUUAGCCUGGAUCCCGAUCCUUAGGAUUGACUGGAAAGAGCGGACUGUAACUCUCUUGUUCAUCACCCUGGGGCAGAGAACACAGCUUUCAGAAUUGGAACACAAAGGACUAUAUGAAUGUUAAGAGCAGAACUUGCACAUGGAGUAAACUUGAAGGAAGCCAUUGUUUCCAAGCCUCCUCUGAAAAAUGAGAAUUAUAAUGGCAUAUUACCUCAAAGGGGUGCUAUAAGAAUUAACUGAGAUAAGAAGAUGAAGUCCUCAGCAUCGUUCAUGGCAUAAGCAAGGAAGACAUGAGAAAGGAAGGUGAACCUGUGAAGAUCCCAGAAUUCAUUGACAGAAAGGUCCUGUUCUCUCUUCCCAAGACUGGACCCACAGAAGACACCAGGUGUGAGGGAUGAAUCACACGUUGAGUCAAGGUUGAGGUGGAUGGGACCGGACGUGUAGAAAAGCUAGAAACUAUAGAGCAAAUGUGCCGUGGAUCAAAAGCAGGUAGCAGUCCCAGGAUAAAUGUAACUUCAGAGCCGUCUGGCCUCUAGGAAUGUUCACAGCCUCUCUCCUACUCCAAGUUCCAAAUUUUACCCUCAAGGAGAAAUAUUGGUAAAGGAUUAAGGUCAAGGCCAUUUAUUGUGCCUCAGUGCUAGAGGUUGGAACAUCUUUCCUAACAAAGAGGAUGAUCCCUGGAUCCCCUGUGGCAGGAGUUUCUCUGGAGUCCUCUGGCAUCUCCUGGAAUCUUCUUUCCUCUCUUUCUUUCUCAAGACAUAUGCAGAAGGAAGGCCUGAAUUACAGGUUCAGGAAUUGCCCUGCUCUAGGAAUGUCCUGGAGUUGACGACUAGAUCAGUUGACAAGGACAAAUGCUAACUCUCUGGCUUGGCUUGGCCUUGAUGUGAUUUUCCAUGGAUCUGCUUUCCCUCUUCAUGGCUAUGGGCCCAGGAGAAGAAGAGGAGGAGAUUGCCUUUAUCCUAGACAGGCUUUCACAUUGUCCAGCUUUGCUCUGGGAACUGCAGAUGGAGAUUGAUGUUGGAGUGAAAUUCUCAUGGACUAAAAUGUCUGUGUUACACUUUUCUUCUCUGUACUUCUUGAGUUCCUUGUAGAGGGCAUUUGUAGGAGGGCAGGAUUCAAGGAUUUAGGAUUCUGUAUCUUGGCCAAAUACAAUUUUCUCAAUGUCUUCCUGUCAUGUCAUGAUUUAUGGCCCACAGAAACUGAAGAGGCAGAACAAAGAGUUUGGACACAAGGCAGGAUGCCAGCAACUAGGAGAACCAUAGAAAUUAAGAAAAAUUGGUCAUUCAUUCUCAGUCAUUCAAAAAAUAUAUAUGUUGGUGCUAUACAAAAUGGAAUUGCAGAUUUACCUAAAAUGCGAUCCCUUUUGUUGAAGCGUUCACUAUUUAGCAGGGCAAGUGUACUUACAAAUGAAUAUUUAUCAUCAGUGGGAGAAGUGCCAUAUUGAAGAGGAGUAUUGUAGUAAGUUACAACCACUGGGCAGAACUCCAAACUCUCCCUCCUAAAACCCUGCCCCGUUCUCCACUCCUUCCUGUCUUUCUAUCUUUGUAGUUAUAAUUUUUAAUAUCUGUAAAUAUAUAAUGCAUCUCCAUGAACGUAAAAAUUCAGCUGCUCAAAGCUUUCUCAAAGCAAUGUGGGGGUGGUAGAUGGUAAAGACCAGCCCAACCCUGGACUCCAUUUUCCUUUAGUCUCUUCUGGGACUCCUUUUUUUCUUUCAGAGGCACUGGUUAUACACACAACCAAAUGAUAGGUGUGGUUCUAAGGGGAAAAGGAGAAAGGACACAAUAAGGGACUUUAAUGCCAACACGGGCACAUUCUUGACAUGUCAUGUGACGUAGGCUGGCUCACCAAGAGUGAGUACUGGCAUAUGGGGACCAGGCCUCCACCAGUAAGAACAUUGCCUUCUCCUGGCCUCAUCACCUGUGAACAUCAGGGAGGAUGCCUGUGACAGAAUAGAGGGCUGGGCGUUUCCUCACUGGGUCUCCAGCUCUCCAAUGGAGGGGAAGUGGGUGGGUUGUGAUUGGAGUUAAACCAGGGAUGAGAAUCCUGUAAAAUAUGAUGUGUUGAAGAGAAUAGGUUCCUUUUCCUUUCCCUUCUAGAAGAGAGACGUUGUCUGUGGCUUGGCAUCUACAUCUCAAAAAUAAUAAAAGUAUACUUGGGAGGUUGGGAAGAUAAUGUCUAAAGACUGUGGAAAGAUUAAUAGAAUCCCUUUAUCCCUGCUGGCAGCAACAACAAUAAAGAAACAACCCACCAAAAAACAAGGCCCAGUCUACCAGUGUAAAGUUUCAUUGAGCCAUAGAUAACUCUUGCUUCUAGAGAGCCACUGUACAACGUUGUAUCUAUAGUCAACAGUAAUGUUUGUAUAGUUAAACUUGUGUUUAGAGGGUAGCUCAUGUUAAAUGCUCUUACCAUAAUAAAAUAAAAUU